rnacentral:rRNA from 2 species
ACGUAGGUCCCGAGCGUUGUCCGGAUUUAUUGGGCGUAAAGGGAGCGCAGGCGGUCAGGAAAGUCUGGAGUAAAAGGCUAUGGCUCAACCAUAGUGUGCUCUGGAAACUGUCUGACUUGAGUGCAGAAGGGGAGAGUGGAAUUCCAUGUGUAGCGGUGAAAUGCGUAGAUAUAUGGAGGAACACCAGUGGCGAAAGCGGCUCUCUGGUCUGUCACUGACGCUGAGGCUCGAAAGCGUGGGUAGCGAACAG